CGGGUGAGUAACACGUGGGUAAUNUACCCUAGGGACUGGGAUAACGUUUGGAAACGAAACGCAAAUACCGGAUGAUACAUAACUAGAUAACUGGAUAUGUUAAAGGAGCGUUAGCUCCACCUUAGGAUGAGCUUGCGGUGUAUUAGCUAGUUGGUGGGGCAAUGGCCUACCAAGGCAACGAUGCAUAGCCGAGCUGAGAGGCUGAUCGGCCACAUUGGAACUGAGAUACGGUCCAAACUCCUACGGGAGGCAGCAG
rnacentral:rRNA from 1 species